UGAGGAUAAAUGGUGCAUGCAUUCAUGCUCCUGGUGUGCUGCCUCCCACAGAUGUAGUUGUGUUUGAGCUGAUGUAUUACAUUUGCCUGAGUGCCUGGCAAUGAAGAUUCCUGAAGAACGGUGUCGAGAGAAACUUGUCUUGGCAGACGUGUAGGAAAUCAGAGAAAAAUAAGCUUCCGCUGGAUGUAGCUGAAGGUUUCACACCAUGCAAGAAAAUGCCAGCCAGAUAUGAUUGGGCUACAAAGAUAAGAGAAUCAAAUAGAUCCCGCUGGCAAUCCUGAUUCCUGAGUAAGACCUACUUCUCAAGUGGUUGGCAGUGACUCACUACAGAAUCUGUGUCCAUCAAAUGGAACUCUCAAGUGAUACACGAGCAUGUUAGGGUGAUGUUUUCCAUGGAGGCCUGCAGCUAUUGGAGGGCAUGUAGGGGUAUUGCGACCCUAUCUGCAUUUUGAAGCAAUGUAAAUAAAAAUAUUGACCAGAUAUUGACCAGAACUUACCUUCUUAGUCCGAUUAUUUUUAA